CAGAUCAUGUGAUCUGACCUUGUUGCUAAGGUAGCAUAAUCAUUUGCUUUUUAAUUGGAAGCUUGUAUAAACGACUUGACGAGAGAAAAUCUGUCUUUACAUGUAAAUCUUUAAUUUUAUUAAAGUGUAAAAAAGCACUUAAUUUAAAGAAGGACGACAAGACCCUAGAACCUUUUAUUAAUUUUAUUAGUUGAGAAUUAUUUAAAAAAUAAAUAAAUUACUGGGGCGGUAUAAAUUAUAAUCAAAUUUUACAUAAACGUUAUGAACGAGUUACAUUAACCAGUGCGGAUACAAACAGGUACUCUAGGGAUAACAGCACGAUUUACCUCUAGAGCUCUGAUCGCUAGGUAACUUGUGACCUCGAUGUUGAAUUGAGUUAUCUAAUUUAAGCAG
rnacentral:rRNA from 1 species